CGGCAAACCUGUCGAAAGGCAGGGGCGCGAAGCCACAGGGCCUACGGCCGUGUCGAUUGGCCAGGGCAGCCGAGUUACA
rnacentral:ncRNA from 1 species